rnacentral:ncRNA from 1 species
AAUCGCGGAUCAGCAUGCCGCGGUGAAUACGUUCCCGGGUCUUGUACACACCGCCCGUCACACCACGAGAGUUUACAACACCCGAAGCCGGUGGGGUAACCGCAAGGAGCCAGCCGUCGAAGGUGGGGUAGAUGAUUGGGGUGAAGUCGUAACAAGGUAGCCGUAUCGGAAGGUGCGGCUGGAUCACCUCCUUU